UUUUAUGGAAAGCCGUCAUGUCUCUCUCUCACUCCAAUCUGAGUUUGCUUCGCUUUCCACGCCUUCUCUCUCUCUCUCUCUCUCCCCCUCCGUGGAGAGCGUUGUUUCGGACCGAAAUACCCUUGUGGAGAAAGCGACUCUCGAGUUGUUUUUGUGCUUGGUUUUUGAGGCUAUGAGAAGAGGAUACUUCUUUUUCUGAGGUGGAGACAAUGAUUUUAACAAAGCAAUAUCGUUGUAUACACUCCUCGAGUUGUCAAUGCACAAAAGGACAUCUAAGUGAAGAUGUGAUUUUUUUAGUAUUUCAACAGCUGAACUGGAACCCUAAGUUCAUUGCUACUUUGUCCUGCGUAUGCAAAUGGUUUGAUGAUCUUGCCAAGCGAGUGUUAUGGAAAGAGUUUUGCCGAACAAGGGCUCCAAAGAUGAUGCUUGAUCUGCAAUCUAGUGGAAGUCACAGUGUUGAUGGGAAUUGGAGGGCACUUGGGAAACUGCUUAUUUACUGUUCAGGAUGUACAAAGGGUGGCCUGUUCAAUAACAUUAACAUCCCUGGUCAUUUUGUUUAUAGGACUCGGUUUUCUAGGACUUCUGGGAAGAGCUUUCUUUUGCCACAAUGCAGGACAGAUGUAUUAUACGUGUCUGAUCCCUGUGAACAUCUUGACCAGGGGGAUGAAGGGGAUGUGGGGUUUUUUCGAGGAAUUUUCAAGUCAUUUUCAAUGUCAAAGGUUCGGAAGAUGCUAAUUAAAAGGAAGGCCCAGCUUCACCCAACAGAGGUGUGUCCUUACUGUAAGGCGAAGUUGUGGAGUAUGCAGCAAGCUGAAAUGAUACCACAGAGUGCCAGCUGCAGACUAGGUGCCUAUGAUGACUGCAUUGAGUAUUAUGUAUGCCUCAAUGGACACAUGCUUGGAAUAUGCACUCUCCUACCUUUGUCUGAUUCAGAAGAGGCCUCUGAGUUGGAAUGAAUGCAGGACAUGCCGUAGAGCAACCUGUUCAUUCUACACUCUGCCUGUUACUGACAUUUGUCUAGGCCUGGGUUUGUUUCUUGUUGUGGACAGAGCAAAUUUGGAUGGAAAGUGAUAGGCUUCUUGAUAGCUUUAUUACCCUGGAGCUGAAACCAAUCAUCACAAUUUAAACUUCGAUUCUGCUUCCUGGUCCCGCGUAGGCCAAUUGUUUCAUAGAGAAGGGUUGGAGUCUAUUGCUGACCGUGGUUUAAUCAUCUGUUACUUAUUGUGAGCGUGUAAUACUGUAGUGUACAUUUUAUGUAUUGCCCAUAUUUGUAUUUGGAUGGCAGAUUGGUAACUGCAAUAAUUCACAGCCCCAUGUUGUCAAUGAUCAGUUUGUUUUGCCUGUUA